GUAGGGAAUAUUGGGUAAUGGACGGAAGUCUGACCCAGCCAUGCCGCGUGCAGGAAGAAGGCGUUAUGCGUUGUAAACUGCUUUUUUAUAGGAAGAAGGAGACCUUGCGAGGUUUGGUGACGGUACUAUAAGAAUAAGCACCGGCUAACUCCGUGCCAGCAGCCGCGGUAAUACGGAGGGUGCGAGCGUUGUCCGGAUUUAUUGGGUUUAAAGGGUGCGUAGGCGGUUUAUUAAGUCAGUGGUGAAAGACGGUCGCUCAACGAUUGCAGUGCCAUUGAUACUGGUAGACUUGAGUUCGUAUGAGGUAGGUGGAAUGGAUAGUGUAGCGGUGAAAUGCAUAGAUAUUAUCCAGAACUCCAAUUGCGUAGGCAGGUUACUAAUACGAUACUGACGCUGAUGCACGAAAGUGUGGGGAUCAAACAGGAUUAGAAACCCGAGUAGUCC
rnacentral:rRNA from 1 species